rnacentral:rRNA from 1 species
AGAGUUUGAUCCUGGCUCAGGACGAACGCUGGCGGCGUGCUUAACACAUGCAAGUCAAGCGGUAAGGCCCUUCGGGGUACACGAGCGGCGAACGGGUGAGUAACACGUGAGCAAUCUGCCCAUCACUUCGGGAUAACUCCGGGAAACCGGAGCUAAUACCGGAUAUGACCACUUCAGGCAUCUGACGGUGGUGGAAAGUUCUGGCGGUGAUGGAUGAGCUCGCGGCCUAUCAGCUUGUUGGUGGGGUAACGGCCCACCAAGGCUUCGACGGGUAGCCGGCCUGAGAGGGUGACCGGCCACACUGGGACUGAGACACGGCCCAGACUCCUACGGGAGGCAGCAGUGGGGAAUAUUGGACAAUGGGCGAAAGCCUGAUCCAGCAACGCCGCGUGAGGGAUGACGGCCUUCGGGUUGUAAACCUCUUUCAGCAGGGACGAAGCGUAAGUGACGGUACCUGCAGAAGAAGCACCGGCCAACUACGUGCCAGCAGCCGCGGUAAUACGUAGGGUGCGAGCGUUGUCCGGAAUUAUUGGGCGUAAAGAGCUCGUAGGCGGUUUGUCGCGUCGGGAGUGAAAACUCAGGGCUUAACCCUGAGCCUGCUUUCGAUACGGGCAGACUAGAGGUAUGCAGGGGAGAACGGAAUUCCUGGUGUAGCGGUGAAAUGCGCAGAUAUCAGGAGGAACACCGGUGGCGAAGGCGGUUCUCUGGGCAUUACCUGACGCUGAGGAGCGAAAGUGUGGGGAGCGAACGGGAUUAGAUACCCUAGUAGUCC